rnacentral:lncRNA from 1 species
CGCAGAGCUCGCGCGCAGGGGCGCGGGGACGCAGGGGCGCGGCGCCUGGCCCGGGUGGGCUCCGGGACAAGGGUGCCCGAGUGUGUGUCUGGCCGUUGCCCCACGACUGCCCCCACACACAUACAUCCCGUUCUUAAGACGCCUCUCCUUUUCCAGGACACUCCUGCCCUGUUUCCAGGUUCCCUUCGCCUUGGGUCUCCAGGUGCCUCCAAUAUCUGGGUAUCUGCUGGUCUGCGCCCAUGCCUCUCAGAGCCUUCUCCCCGGUGCCACCGGGUGCCCCUAACUAGCGGGGGGGCUUACAGAGCACGGCAGCCCCUGCGGACUCUCCCAGUGAAGACGCGGCCGGCUGCGGACUGGAACUUGCAAGAGGAGACGUCAGGGAGCCUCUGCGGAGCCUCGGGACAGUGGUGUCCGCCUCCCCGCCGCGCCAGCUCGGGCAGGGACGCCAGCUUUGGGGUCCUGAAAAACCUGCAGGCAUCUUCCAUGGAUUGUGAUUAAGGUGGGCAGCUCUCCCAGCAGCCCAGGACUACAGCCCCAGCCGGAGGCAUGUGGCUGCCCCGCAUCUCCAGCACGGCGGUGACCGUGCUCCUGCUGGCGCAGACUGGCAUCCUGCUUUUCCUGGU